rnacentral:rRNA from 1 species
UCGAGCGGUAGCACAGAGAGCUUGCUCUCGGGUGACGAGCGGCGGACGGGUGAGUAAUGUCUGGGAAACUGCCUGAUGGAGGGGGAUAACUACUGGAAACGGUAGCUAAUACCGCAUAACGUCGCAAGACCAAAGUGGGGGACCUUCGGGCCUCAUGCCAUCAGAUGUGCCCAGAUGGGAUUAGCUAGUAGGUGGGGUAACGGCUCACCUAGGCGACGAUCCCUAGCUGGUCUGAGAGGAUGACCAGCCACACUGGAACUGAGACACGGUCCAGACUCCUACGGGAGGCAGCAGUGGGGAAUAUUGCACAAUGGGCGCAAGCCUGAUGCAGCCAUGCCGCGUGUGUGAAGAAGGCCUUCGGGUUGUAAAGCACUUUCAGCGGGGAGGAAGGCGUUAAGGUUAAUAACCUUGGCGAUUGACGUUACCCGCAGAAGAAGCACCGGCUAACUCCGUGCCAGCAGCCGCGGUAAUACGGAGGGUGCAAGCGUUAAUCGGAAUUACUGGGCGUAAAGCGCACGCA